AGAGGGCCAGUACCUGCUCCGCUCUUUCCUAGCCCGCACCAGGCCUUCUCGUUUGUUUUUUGUUUUGUUUUGUUUUGUUUUGUUUCUUUAAAAUGGAAGCGGCAUCAUGAAAGGAUGCUUUAGCUCGAAGCCUCCUUUGAGGGAAGUGUUGGCUUUUACGGUUUGGAAGAGAAUUGGAUCUAUCUCUUGCAUAGGCGAUGUGCACAAAUCCUUGCAUGGAUUCUAGGUCCAGGAUCUGACCCCACUGGCUUUCACCUUGGAUGAGAUAGUCAAAUAUUGAGCCUCGGUUUCUUCAUUCAUAAAAUGGCAGUAAUAGUCGACUGUCUCGACAUUCUUACUUUCCACUCUCUCUUUACCCCCUCAGGCUUUUGUGCUCUACACACCAAAGGUGAUCGUCUUUCGCGAGGCACCAGUGACUUCCAUGUUGCUGGUGCCUUUUAUUACUUCUCUGUCCUGAUUUUUUUUCUACCUCUCAGUGGCUCUCAACGCAGUUUAUCGUCCCAUCCUUAAAACACAUUCUUCUCUUGCUAAGCACUCCAUACUUCCUCUCUCCCUUCCCCUCCACCCCUUCUCCUAUUUUAAUAGCCACUCCCAAGGCUACAUGCCCAGUCUCCCAGCUCUUUUCCAGAUGUGUUGUUCCAUAGGUGAGUCUAUCCAUUACCAUGCUGUAAAUUCUGUCAAGGAACCGAUGACUCCCACAUCUCUAUUCUCUGCCCUGUACUUCCUACCUCUCCGUCAAUUCAUACCAGUUGCUUACUCAUGUAAGCAUGUAUACAACAUGUAUCCAAAAGGCAUCUCAGACCAACCUACACAAAAUUGAAAAUUUCAUUCAUUGCACGUUCACCUUUAAUCUGCUCAUCCUGUAUUUUCCAUUUUAGGAAAUGACACCACCAUCCACCAAGUUGCUCAAGCAGGUCCUGAAACCCCAGACAGGAUUUCCCGGCCUUGCCGUGUAGCAGGUCACAUGAGCAGUACCCCAUGUGAAAGUGCCCCUCAUUAUACUUGGAAGAAAAGAGCCAAAGACCAAGAGAUGCCAAGAAGAGUCUGAACAAACAAGUCUUGCUAAGUUUCCCUCUGUUUGUUACCACUGAGCCAUACCUUUGUGUCUUCCUAGCAAACCUCUCCAUGACUGUCCAUGUUCCAUCAAACCUAAGCAUAAAAAUACACAAGAUUACCUGUU